rnacentral:rRNA from 1 species
UACGAAGGGGGCUAGCGUUGCUCGGAAUCACUGGGCGUAAAGCGCACGUAGGCGGAUUGUUAAGUGAGGGGUGAAAUCCCGAGGCUCAACCUCGGAACUGCCUUUCAUACUGGCAAUCUUGAGUCCGGGAGAGGUGAGUGGAACUCCUAGUGUAGAGGUGAAAUUCGUAGAUAUUAGGAAGAACACCAGUGGCGAAGGCGGCUCACUGGCCCGGAACUGACGCUGAGGUACGAAAGCGUGGGGAGCAAACAGG